CUCCAACCAUUCGUGGAGGAGGAUGCCUAAGGCAGGACCUGGUGACUGGGGUGAAAGUCGUAACAAGGUAGCCGUACCGGAACGGUGUGGCUGGACACCUCCUUUUAG
rnacentral:rRNA from 1 species